rnacentral:rRNA from 1 species
GAUGAACGCUGGCGGCGUGCCUAACACAUGCAAGUCGAGCGGAGUGAAGAGAGCUUGCUUUUUUCACUUAGCGGCGGAUGGGUGAGGAACGCGUGGGGAACCUGCCUCUCACGAGGGGGAUAACAGCUGGAAACGGCUGUUAAUACCGCAUAUGCACACAGUGCCGCAUGGCACAGGGUGGAAAGAAAUUCGGUGAGAGAUGGACCCGCGUUGGAUUAGCUUGUUGGCGGGGUAACGGCCCACCAAGGCGAUGAUCCAUAGCCGGCCUGAGAGGGCGACCGGCCACAUUGGGACUGAGACACGGCCCAA